CCAGAGUUGGCAAUCUGUGGUAGAGAUUUUUGAAGAGUGAAUGAUCAGUCCAUAAUGGAUGAAGAUGAUAUGGGAAGAAGCUGGAGUGGAGGUUCAUCCUCUUCUGAAGGGUUAUUACAAAGGCAGUUGUCUGAUAGAAACAUAGACCCCAUAGUUAAAAUGUAAUUCCUGGUGAGUGCUAUAUCCAUAAGUCUUUUUGAAAAAGAUGGAGUUGGAUUGUCACAAUUGUAAAUAAUACAAAACCAAAUUGAA